rnacentral:lncRNA from 1 species
UGUAACCCCCAUCCACCAAAGGCAUCACCUCCACAUGGUCCCCACUCGCCACCACAAACCCCUACUUCAUCACCACCCCAGUAUACCCAUCCACCAAAGGCAUCGCCUCCGCGUGGUCCUCACGUGCCACCACAAACACCCACUUCAUCGCCGCCUUCUUACCUGCACCCACCAAAGGCAUCACCUCCUGGUGGUCCCAACGAGCCACCUUACCCACAUCCGCCCAAGGCAUCUCCUCCGGGUGGUCCCAGCGCGCCACCUUACCCACAUCCGCCCAAGGAAUCACCUCCGGGUGGUCCCAACACGCCACCGCAGACCCCUUCUUCAUCGCCACCUUCUUACCCGUACCCACCAAAGGCAUCGCCACCGGAUGGUCAGACCUCAUCACCGCCUUCUUACCCAUAUCCGCCAACCGCAUUGCCACCCAAUUGGCCGGAAAUUCCGCCUACCACCGCCGUACCUCCUCUGCCACUUCCACCUUCAUUUAAUUCCGUUCCACCGUUAUCCGACAUUUUGGUUCCACCGCCGUCAGGAGGCGGCAACAACCACACCACUAUCAUAGUGGUAUGCGCCUCACUAGGCGGCGCAUUCUUCCUUGCAUUUCUUGCAUUGGGUCUCUUUUGCUUGGCCAAGAAAAAGAAGAAGGCUGUUUUAAUUCCGGCAGCCGCUGCGUAUGGCCAAGAAAGUAGUCAUUAUGGAGGAGAAAGUGCAAGCGGCAGCGCUGCAAGCCAUUACCAAUAAUGGCUAAGGGCCUAGGGUUUACCAUAUCUGGUAUAUACCUAAACCCUAAAGAAAGUUGACUGAGUGUGGACAUGUUUAUGUGUACAUUGUUUGUUUGGAAAAAAUAAUAAUAAUAAUCAACAAGGGCUAAAAUUCAUCAGAAUGCUGGCACAUAUUUGUAUGGAAUAUAUAUCUAGUAUUUCUGCUUAAACUUGAAGAUCGAAGAUGGGAUCGAUCAGUUUAAAAAGGACAGUUUGUUUCGUGAUCGAAAAAGAAAUUACAUUUUAUAUAAUAGAGCGUUGCAAUUAUUUUAAUAUAUAUUUAGUAUAUAGUAAAUAUCAUCUAAAAUGUAAUUUUCUAUUCUACAAAAUGCAAUUUAUUUUUUUUAAAGUGUCUAAGUGAACUACUAUGUUAAACUGUUUGGAAUCAUGAUUCAAGAAGACAAAAGGAAAAAGGCUAGAAGGAAUUAGGAAACUACCGUUUAUUUUGUUCUGUUUUUUGUACUUUUUAAUUAUGGAUCCGGUUAGCAUGAAGUUUAUUUUUUAAUAAAUUGGUCAAUUGACCAAUAGAAUAUUGAUACACAUAGAAUCUCGUCUACGUUCAGCACUCUAUUGACCAAUUAACCAACUUAUUCAAAAAUAAAUUUUAUGCUAACUACUCCCUUUAAUUAUGUAUGUAAUGAUUGAUGGAGA